AUUGAACGCUGGCGGCAGGCCUAACACAUGCAAGUCGAACGAGUGGCGGACGGGUGAGUACUGUCUGGGAAACUGCCUGAUGGAGGGGGAUAACUACUGGAAACGGUAGCUAAUACCGCAUACCAUCGGAUGUUCCCAGAUGGGAUUAGAGAGUGGGUGGGGUAAAGGCUCACCUAGGCGACGAUCCCUAGCUGGUCGGGGAGGAUGACCAGCAACACGGGACCUGGGACACGGUCCAGACUCCUACGGAAGGAAGCAGUGGGGAAUAUUGCACAAGGGGCGCAAGCCUAAUGCAGCCAUGCCGCGUGUAUGAAGAAGGCCUUCGGGUGGUAAAGUACUUUCAGCGGGGAGGCGUUACCCGCAGAAGAAGCAACGGCUAACUCCGUGCCAGCAGCCGCGGUAAUAC
rnacentral:rRNA from 1 species